GGAUUUUCAUAUGUUCAUUACCACAUUUUCAAGAAUAAAAAAAAUGGCUCCACUUGUAGUUGUGUACUCCUCUCCAAAGAAGAUAUUUUUUCUACAUCUAAUCUUCUUCACUUCAAUAUUCAUUUCUUCUGCCAAUCAAAACCAACAACAACCACAAAAAAAUUAAGAAUGUUGUUAGAUUUAGAAGAUGAUGGUGAAAGUAAUCAGCCAAUCACUAUCAAGAAAAAAAACCCACUUCUUCUUCUUCUUCAAUAGUAAAAUAAGCUUUUCAACCAAGAACAAAACCAAAUUCAUUAAGCCCACUGCAACUCCAUCAAAAAAUCAAAAAAAGCUAAUCAAAACCACCAUUAAUGGCGGACUCAAGAACCAGGCUAAGCAGAUUAAGCUCCCAUCUUAUUCAUCAUCCAAAAACAAGACCACAAGUUUAUUAGACUCAACCACCAUUAUUAAAACACCACUCAAGAAACUCAAUUACACUUCAAAGAAAACAUCCUCGAACUCCACAAACACCAAAAAUUCCUCCGAUCUACCAUCCAACAACACAACAGCA
rnacentral:lncRNA from 1 species